GAGUGUGCAGGGUUCUGCAUGGUGAGGGACUUAAACUUGGAGUGCUUGCUUAGGCACAUCAGCCAAGAAACAAGAUUCCAGUCACCUGCAUGUCUUCAACUGGGGGAGGAGACUGUGUUCCAGUCUAGCAAGAUGCAGAGACAGACUCCAGAUUGAAGAAGUCCUGAAAAACCAGUUGACACCUGACCUCCCACUCCCCUCCUCAACAACCCUGAGGAUAUUUAACCCAGAA